GUAACGCCCCUAACCCGAAUCCGUCACCGGAAUAAAGUUACGGAGCAUUACCGGAGUUACCGAUUUAUUUAUUAGAUAUUUUAUUUCAUCUAACGUUCAUAUUUGGAACCAAUUAAAAUCAAUCAUAUUGUCCCUUAAACGUACUUAUUUUUCUCGACAUGUUUUACUUGAAUUUAUUACUCGUCUCAAUAUACUUAAUUUCCUUGUAUCAACAUAUCAAAGAUAAUCA
rnacentral:lncRNA from 1 species